CAGAGCAAAAACCAAGCCAUGAGGUUGAUGGUGCCGGAGGAGAUGGCUGACGUUUUACGGGCUCCUAACAAAUUGUGCUAUUCUCCAUAGUAGCUCUACACUGGAAAAAUGCUGCAAGUUCACCCGCCUACUUUCUGACUAGGAGGAAGUCAGCACAGAGCCCCCAGACUGUGAAGACGUGGAUGGAGACGUGAGCAGGCUGAGUUACCAGGACCCCCUGUCAUAUGGGGAUGAGAAGCGGGGCUCUCUGGAGUCCGAGGAAACGGCUGAGGGUCUGGACGGUCCACCAUAGGAGGAUUCGCUGAUCAUGGGGCAGCUCAUGAGCCACCAGGCCACUGAGGAGAGUCUGGAGAUUGCUGUGGACAACCAAGGUUAUGACAACAACGACCCCAUAGACAGCUCCUCCCAAUGAAGCCCAGAGGUACUGCAGCCAACAAGCUCCCGCUGUCACCUUGGGCUUGGUGAACCAAUAUUAAAGGCCCAGAGGUUUCCUGAUCAGGUUAUGGAAACACUCCUAGCCCUACCAAUAGCAUACAGUAUCUUUGCUAUACAGAGAAUCAGAGUUUCUUAUCAAGGGAAAUGUUGGUUGACAGUAAGAGGCAGCAAUGUCCAUCAUGCCAUGGUAUCAAUACUGAUGGGAAAUCUGACAAGGAGAAGAUGUUUAGCAUUUUUCCCACAGUGUUUUCCUGUCAGAUUAAUUUGGGGGAUACCAAAACAAGGCUGGCAUGAGGCCCAGGAGCACAUUGGGAGAAGUAAAUAACUCCUUCCCGAUGCUUCAUAAAUGUUCAUUAAAUAUGUGGCACAACC